CCAAGUCAAUAUUUCCUGAAUCCCUUAUUUCUACACAAAACGGGAAAUAAACACCUAAAACAACCAUACCACUAGCUAACCAUACUAUCAGUUAUACAUACUAAAAAUAGUAGUUCGAGUGUCCAUAUAUUACAAGAUAAAUCAGUCCCCAAUGUUCAGUUAUUAUAAAUGAAACAAUCCAAAUGUCCAAUUACAACAAAGGUGACUAUCUAAUUAUUAGGCAUAUUAAAACUAGAGAAGGAGAAAACAUGGUGAGGAUUUAAAAACAAAAUAUUAAACUCAAAUCUUCAUACUUAGGAAUGCAUUCUACUUGCUUCAUACAUCAAUGAACAUCGAAUGUACCCGUAAUUCAGUAGAGAAUAGAAGCAUAUGAGUAAAUACAAUUAUUCAUCCAAGCAAAACAGCAACCAAUCAAUUAGUACACCCAGGAUUUCAGCAGAUUUUGAGAAAAUUAAGAUCUCAAAGGACUAAGAACAGCACUGAUCGUUUUUCACAGUUAUAGGAAGAACCAAUAUGUAUUUUUUCUCUCUAGAAUUCAAAAGAAAGGUUCCAGAUCCUUCAAAAAUGUUAAGAUGGUUUCUUUUAUAGUGGAGUCUUAAGGCACCAUUUUUCCUUUGUUUUUUCCUUUUAGUCCUUGAGUUAGUUUUCAUCUUUUCUUCAAUGAUCCCUCAUUUCCUGACUUGUGCCUCAAGUUUGAGGCAGAAAUUGUGUUUUAAUCCCUCACUAGAAUGUUCUAGGGGGUUAUCACCAGGUUCCUUUAAGGUUCAAAUUCCCCUUAUACUCCUAUUUCUAUUCUGAAGUUUUAACCUUAGUUAUUCACUGAUCCUGGUCGAUUGUAUUUGGGUUAUGGGCUGAAGUCUAGUUGGAAUUGACAGGUCCAUUGGAUCCAUACAACUAAAUGUCCUAAUAUGGAUUGGUUUAUCAAUUAUUAUAACUUAGGAUCACAAACAUUCAAGUACCUUUGUAUUAAAACCAAUGGAUCAAUAUCAACCGGGAAAGAAGACCAAUCAGCUAAUAAAAAAACCUAAUUAAAUCACUCAAUAAGAACUCGAAAGUGAGAAAUGAGUAACAGGGAUUGAAAACUUAGUUCAUGAACAAAAUCAGGAAACCAUUAAAGGUUCAGCAAGAAAGAAUAGCCUAACA
rnacentral:lncRNA from 1 species